rnacentral:rRNA from 1 species
AGUCCACAUCGACGGGGAGGUUUGGCACCUCGAUGUCGGCUCAUCACAUCCUGGGGCUGUAGUAGGUCCCAAGGGUUGGGCUGUUCGCCCAUUAAAGUGGUACGCGAGCUGGGUUCAGAACGUCGUGAGACAGUUCGGUCCCUAUCCGUCGCAGGCGUAGGAAAUUUGAGCAGACCUGUCCUUAGUACGAGAGGACCGGGAUGGACGUACCUCUGGGGUACCAGUUGUCCUGCCAAGGGCAUGGCUGGGUAGCUGUGGGCGGGAGGGG